UACGAAGGGGGCUAGCGUUGCUCGGAAUUACUGGGCGUAAAGGGAGCGUAGGCGGACUGUUAAGUUAGAGGUGAAAGCCCAGGGCUCAACCUUGGAAUUGCCUUUGAUACUGGCAGUCUUGAGUACGGAAGAGGUAUGUGGAACUCCGAGUGUAGAGGUGAAAUUCGUAGAUAUUCGGAAGAACACCAGUGGCGAAGGCGACAUACUGGUCCGUUACUGACGCUGAGACGCGAAAGCGUGGGGAGCAAACAGG
rnacentral:rRNA from 1 species